AUGUUUGUGAGUGAUGUCCUGAAAACCCAGAAGAUAAUUAGCCACACUCUUCACUGCUGUAAUAUCAGCAAAAUGAUACAAGUCCAAUUAAACCAAAGUAAAAUAAACUACUGAAAAACUGCAUAAACACCAUAAACUGGUCUUUCCAAACACAGAAAAAACAUCGCAGCUGCUGUGGUAAGUUAACUUCCUAGAUUACUGUAAUUUUUCUAUUGUUUAGAAAUUAUUGAAUGACAAAGGGUUGAUGCAGCCAAAUUCUUACAUAUAAUCUUAUCUCAGCCAAACUUAAAAAAAAAAAAAAAUUCUUGAAGGAAGGCCAACACUGACUUUCUAAAUUGUCUAUGCAAUGAUAUCUACAGAAAUAACACUGCAGGACUUAUGAAACUAGAAUUUUUUAUCGAAAGUACUUUAUUUCUUUUUUUUUUUGUAAUAUUGUUAAUAUGUGUAAUCAUU
rnacentral:lncRNA from 1 species